rnacentral:lncRNA from 1 species
ACUCUUCAGCAGACACAAGUUCUUCAGAUCUUCCUGUUUCACAGGGACUUUAAAGCGUCUUCCACACCUGUGGUAGAAGUCAUGACCCCACACCCAGGAGCACACUGGGGGCCUUGGGGUGACUGGGAAGAGGGUGGGCAGGGAGCACUUCCUGAUGCUCCUUUCCCCUGUAGCACAGCUUCCUGUGUACUAGGCAGCCUUAUGGCACUCCGUCUGCUUUUGUGGCCUCCUCUGAGGUGGGCAGAGGGCUCUGGGCCCUUCAGUGUGGAUGGGAGCCCGAAUGGGACAGGUGCUACCUCUGCUGCUCACUGCUAGAUUCAGGUCGUAAACAUGGGGACUGCACACAUCUAGAAGUGCUACAUCUGUCCUUUGCAGCUCAAAGGGCCUCCUUGUCUGUAUCCGCCUUUUUUAAGGUGAGCAGACUAGGCUGUGUCUCCCCCCCCCCCAACAAAUAUGGCUUCAUUUCAGAUGGUUCAUUUCCUUGGAUGUAGCUCCUGGCCUUUGGCUCAUAGACACUGAAAACCAAAGGAAUGUGCUUCCCACCUGCUCUUUUCUUUUUGUAUGCAUUAGGUUAAUCUGAAAAAUGGAUUUGUCCUCCCAUGGUAGUUUCUUGCCCUGUUCCAAUGAGGCAUUUUUUUCUGUCCCAUAGCUAAUGAAGCAGUCAUCCCUAGGCACCCAGCUAACCACUUCAAGGGCACACUUAGAUUAUCUAUUCCCAUGGUUCUUAACCAAGGAGUGCAUGUUGUCCUCUUCUGGCCAUCCCAGAAUGUUCUUAUCCUGAAACCUGCAGUCUCUACUAGAUCAAUCUGGAAUUCUAUCAGCUGUGUCAGUUGAUGGAGGGCAUUAUCUCAGUUCCAGAGAUCUAUACAAAAUGCAGUUCAACAGCAAAGCAAACAGACUGAAAAGAAUCAGGAGCUCCAGGGAUGAUAGGGGGUCCCAUAAGACGUUUCUCUUACCUUCCUGGUGGUAAAGUAUAUAUUUUCUGACAGCCCACAGACAGAAGUUGGAAAAGGAUAGAAGGGGCACCCUCUAAAGGUUCAUCAGAGUUUAACAAUCACAUCACACUGCUCCGAUGGUCCUUUAUAUAUGUUGUAACAGCCCAUUGUCAGUAGUUGCUCUGCAUUUUUAUAACCUUUUUGUCACUACACAGCAGUGGAGUUUGCUGUAGUCCUGAGCUUAGAUCCUUAGAUGACAGAUUGGGAUCAGGCUUCUCUACCGUGUAGUCUUCAGUAUGUUGUAUUACUACAGGACAACAGACACUUAGCCAUAGGUAACUGAUCAAUCGGAUUCCUAAAAUUUAAGAUUUCUGCUCAGCAAUAUACCAUUAAGAAAAUGAAAAGGCACAUCACAGAUUGGGAGUAAAUGCGUAUGCAUGUGUACUCAGAAUACGUAAAGAACUCUAACAACUCAAUAAUACAGAAGACAGCUUUUUUUUUUUUUUUUUUUUUUUUUUUUUUUUUAAUGGGCAAGAGAUUUGAACCACUAUCCCACUGAAGCACAGAAAUGGUCACUAUAAAGAGGUACUCAUCAUCAGACAUCAGGGAAGUGCUAGUUAAACCACAACCACAAGAAUAUCAAAAUAGAUAAAAUUAAAAAGUAACAAUACCAAGUGUUAGCAAGGACAUGGAGUAACGCAUUCUCAUUCAUUGCUAGUCGGAAUGUAAAACAGGAGAACCAUUUUGGAAAACUAGCAGAAUAGCAUGAAGUUAGGCAUACACUUACCCUAUAACCUAGAAAUUCAACUCCUAGAUAUUUACCCAAGAGAAAUUAAAGCAUUUAUCCACACAGAUGUGUAUAGAAAUGUUCACAGUUUUAUUUAUAAUAGACAAAACCUGGAGAAGAGAGAAAUACGGUUCAUUCAUUCAAUGGAGUAUGACUCAACAAUAAAAAGGUUUUUUUUGUUUUGUUUUGUUUUUUGUUUUUUUGGUUUUUUUUUUAAGUAGGCUCCACACCCCGCAUGAAGCCCAGUAUGGGGCUUGAACUCAUGGCCCUGAGAUUAAGACCUGAACUGAGAUCAAGAGUCAGCCAUUUAAACAAAUGAGCCACCCAGGUGCCCCCAAAAGGAAUUUUAAAUACAAAUAUGAAUUUCAAAACCAUGCUCUGUGAAAGAAAUUAAACAUAAAAAGGUAUGUAUGUACAUGAUUCAAUUUAUAUAAACUUCAACAAGAGGAAGUAAGCUAUGGUGGUAGAAAAAAAAAAAAAAAAAAAAAAAAAAAAA